UACAUUCCCCGGUCUUCUCCAUCAGGGCCCACCGUCACCAGGAGGAAGUACAACUCUGACAUAGGAGCUUUUCUCAUACACACACCAUUGGGCUGUGUGGCAAUGCAGGACUGGGCAAAUUAUAUCCCAUGAGACUUGGAAAGAAAACAAUGGUCCAAAGCUGCCUAAAUGCUCUGCACAUGUUGUGGGAGACUGAGACUGAAACUGGGUUACAAGUGCAGCUCCAAAGCAGAGCACUGGCUUCAUCUCAGGACCCUGUGACUCCUUAAAGUAAGACCCCCAGCAAGUGCAACAAGGGAAACCAAGACAGUGUAGCAGGAGCAGCACUCUUCACACCAGCCAGCAGUGGACUCUGGCACUGAAACAACAUGCUUAAGCUGCAGCACAGAGAAGGAUCCUCUAGAUUGGAGCAAAGCAGUUCGUGGAUAAUUUAACAUGGUAGUAUUCACACAAAAAUUCUGCAAGGACUUAAGGAGCACAGUCGCCUGUCCAAAAACACUGUAAAGUCAUCAGAAAGACUUUGACAUGGGAAAAGCACAGACAGGAUGGCGACCACCCCAAAUCUGACAGAGGAGAGAUCUGGUUAGCACAUCCUGAGCAGAUCAACACCGCUUGACAUAGGCAGGAAAAGGUAAAGAAGACAUACGAGAAAGAACUCUCUUCCACAUCCAUAUACAGGAGCUGAGGAAUUGCAAUCCUUUGCAAGAUGUUUCCCAGUUUUCCCUAGAGGAUGGUAUCAGUCUACAGUCUGGGCUACUAGAGGUUGCUCAGUCUGUGGAUUGUGCUCUGUUAAUCUCACUCUAAGUAAAAUAAAGUUCAUAUCCAUUGCACAAUUUUGUACCCCUGGGACAGACAUCACAUACUUAAUGCACUGUAUUUUAUCACUUUGCUUUUCAUUUUUUUCAUUUCAAAACUGGAAGCUCAGUACAAGAAGGUAAACAUUUUUAUGUUCAGAUCCAAAUUAACAGACAUAAAUGUAGUUCACAAGAAGGCAUCUCCAAGAAAGUUGGACUGCCAUAUUCCAUGGACAGGCACGGACACUUUGAGUUUCAUACCCAUGUUCCCAAACUCAAGCAGAUUGGGUGCUGGAUGUGGAAGGGCGUCCUGCCUGACGCCAGCUGCCACCUGACAAAGACUUAGGUCCCAACACAGGCUCUAUUUCAUAUCUGUCAGCAGAUGCUAAGUUAACUCACAACA